rnacentral:rRNA from 1 species
CCGGCGCACGGGUGAGUAACACGUAUCCACCUGCCGACAACACUGGGAUAGCCUUUCGAAAGAAAGAUUAAUACCGGAUGGCUCCGCAUGGGUAAAGAAUUUCGGUUGUCGAUGGGGAUGCGUUCCAUUAGGCAGUUGGCGGGGUAACGGCCCACCAAACCUACGAUGGAUAGGGGUUCUGAGAGGAAGGUCCCCCACAUUGGAACUGAGACACGGUCCAAACUCUACGGGAGGCAGCAGUGAGGAAUAUUGGUCAAUGGACGAGAGUCUGAACCAGCCAAGUAGCGUGAAGGAUGACUGCCUAUGGGUUGUAAACUUCUUUUAUACGGGAAUAAGUGAGCCACGUGUGGCUUUUUGUAUGUACCGUAUGAAUAAGGAUCGGCUAACUCCGUGCCAGCAGCCGCGGUAAUACGGAGGAUCCGAGCGUUAUCCGGAUUUAUUGGGUUUAAAGGGAGCGUAGAUGGAUGUUUAAGUCAGUUGUGAAAGUUUGCGGCUCAACCGUAAAAUUGCAGUUGAUACUGGAUAUCUUGAGUGCAGUUGAGGCAGGCGGAAUUCGUGGUGUAGCGGUGAAAUGCUUAGAUAUCACGAAGAACUCCGAUUGCGAAGGCAGCCUGCUAAGCUGCAACUGACAUUGAGGCUCGAAAGUGUGGGUA